AGGGCCUGGACUCAAUUAUUUCCAAGGUCUUUUCCAGAUGUAAAACUCUAAGCUUCAAGGUAAAAGUGUCAGGUCACCCAGGAAACGCACCGGUGCCAGAAAAAUCUGAAGGCGUGGCCUGACCCAUUUAAGACUGCCACUUCAGGGGAGGCUCAGGUGGUCAUGGUGCCACAGCUCCUUGCUGGCUCCUGUCCAAGGCCAGGGAAGGCCUCCUGAGAAGCCCAGGUGCGAACUGGUCAGGCGCAGCCAGCAUGUGGCCCAGGCCAAGGGCUUUCACAGGCCCAUAGGACUGGAUCAGCUGUACAGCCCUACAAAGGGCCUGUGCUCUUUCCAGCUGGCAAAACCUUACAGAGAAAGGCAAAGCAACCGGAAAAAGCAGCGGAAAACACAUGGGCUCCGAAAUCUGACAACCUGAGCGCUAACCUGAUGCUGAUCAGCUGAACCACAGGAAUUUGCUCCCCCUCCCUGAGCCUCAGUUUCCCCAAGUGGGGAUGGGGAGGGGAUGCACAGUGCCUGCCACCGGGUAAAUGCUGACUUCCACUUCAUUAGUGAAAACAGGUUUCUGUUCGUGGUGACAAUAGCCCUGCCACUGAGCUGUUCUACACUGUCCCCUCUCCUGCAACUUGUUCCUCUGGCAUAAAGGUCUCUUUGAUGAGCACUGGGUCCAGUCACUUCUGAGCUCCCCGAUGACCUCCACUUCCCCUAACACAGACGGAGCGUCAACUACAUGCCAGACGACUUUUAAUCAGGAGGGAAAGGACUAGAUUGGCAUUAACAAAAACCAACUUUUGCUGAAGUGUGGAAAGAGGAUGGAGAUGGGACAGAGAGAGAGAGAUUUGAGAAAGAGAACUGAUAACAUCAGGAAGAAAACAAGACCUCAGAUUCAACAGAUCCCAAGUGUUCUGCCCCCUUCAAGCCAGUCCUUCAACAGAAACUCACUUCCUGCCACAUCUGGAGAUGUUCGCCUCUUUCACUUUCUUCAUAAACGCUGCAGCCAUAGAAUUUGAAAACAGGCUCCAGUAUAGGACUCUCCUACGCAUUGAAGGUUUUGCUCGCUUCUACAGGGACCUCGGAUGGGCCGCGGUGCCCUGACAACGACCACAAAAGAAUCCGUGCGGUUUCCCGGCGGAGCGAGCCCGUGGGCCGUGACCUCUCUGCGCCGGGG